UCCUAUGAAUAAGCAAACAAAGUGGUUUCUUGAGAUAGAAUCUACUGGUGAAGAUGCUGUGAA
rnacentral:pre_miRNA from 1 species